UGGGGGAUAUUGCACAAUGGGGGAAACCCUGAUGCAGCAACGCCGCGUGAGGGAAGAAGGUUUUCGGAUUGUAAACCUCUGUCCUCAGGGAAGAUAAUGACGGUACCUGAGGAGGAAGCUCCGGCUAACUACGUGCCAGCAGCCGCGGUAAUACGUAGGGAGCAAGCGUUGUCCGGAUUUACUGGGUGUAAAGGGUGCGUAGGCGGGAUAUCAAGUCAGACGUGAAAUCCAUCGGCUUAACUGAUGAACUGCGUUUGAAACUGGUAUUCUUGAGUGAGUCAGAGGCAGGCGGAAUUCCCGGUGUAGCGGUGAAAUGCGUAGAGAUCGGGAGGAACACCAGUGGCGAAGGCGGCCUGCUGGGGCUUAACUGACGCUGAGGCACGAAAGCGUGGGGAGCAAACAGG
rnacentral:rRNA from 1 species